rnacentral:lncRNA from 1 species
UGGUUUCAAUAGCUGUACUUAAAAUUACAGAAUAAAUUUUUUUAUUUUUUUUAUUUUUUGCAAUACCAGCAACAGCUUAUCACAUUACUAAACCACAAUCAAAACAAAAAGGCGUAUACAAUCCAUCCGUACACUAGUACCAAUAUCUAACAACACACCAAAAGCGAAUUUUUGAACAACUUUAUUUCCCUAAUGGGGGGAUAAAAUCGUACGAAACACAUUUUAAUGAACGCAAAAGUAAAAUUUGCAAUUGGACUGAGGUAUUGGGGGACAUAGACACAAUAUUUAAUAAGAGUAUUAUGCUAAAUAGUUUUAAUAAAUGAACCCCCAAAACAUAACUGUCUACC